UACAGAGGUCCCAAGCGUUGUUCGGAUUCACUGGGCGUAAAGGGUGCGCAGGUGGUUUGGCAAGUUUGACGUGAAAGCCCCGGGCUUAACCCGGGAAUGGCGUUGAAAACUGCUUGAACUGGAGGGUUGGAGGGGGGACUGGAAUUCUUGGUGUAGCAGUGAAAUGCGUAGAUAUCAAGAGGAACACCAGUGGCGAAGGCGAGUCCCUGGACAAACCCUGACACUGAGGCACGAAAGCCAGGGGAGCAAACGGG
rnacentral:rRNA from 1 species